rnacentral:rRNA from 1 species
AACGAACGCUGGCGGCAGGCCUAACACAUGCAAGUCGAGCGGACCUUUCGGGGUCAGCGGCGGACGGGUGAGUAACGCGUGGGAAUAUGCCCUUCUCUACGGAAUAGUCCUGGGAAACUGGGGUUAUACCGUAUACGCCCUUUUGGGGAAAGAUUUAUCGGGGAAGGAUUAGCCCGCGUUGGAUUAGGUAGUUGGUGGGGUAAUGGCCUACCAAGCCGACGAUCCAUAGCUGGUUUGAGAGGAUGAUCAGCCACACUGGGACUGAGACACGGCCCAGACUCCUACGGGAGGCAGCAGUGGGGAAUCUUAGACAAUGGGGGCAACCCUGAUCUAGCCAUGCCGCGUGAGUGAUGAAGGCCUUAGGGUUGUAAAGCUCUUUCAGCUGGGAAGAUAAUGACGGUACCAGCAGAAGAAGCCCCGGCUAACUCCGUG